GUCAACGGUUAUACCCUCGUCUGAUUACUGAAGUCAAGCAACGUUGGGCACGGUUAGUACUGGGAUGGGUGACCGCUUGGGAACACCGUGUGUUAUUGCCA
rnacentral:rRNA from 1 species